UACGGAGGGUGCAAGCGUUAAUCGGAAUUACUGGGCGUAAAGCGUGCGCAGGCGGUUUGUUAAGUCUGCUGUGAAAUCCCCGAGCUCAACUUGGGAAUUGCAGUGGAUACUGGCAGGCUGGAGUAUGGUAGAGGAAGGUGGAAUUCCCGGUGUAGCAGUGAAAUGCGUAGAGAUCGGGAGGAACACCAGUGGCGAAGGCGGCCAUCUGGGACAACACUGACGCUGAAGCACGAAAGCGUGGGGAGCAAACAGG
rnacentral:rRNA from 1 species